rnacentral:rRNA from 1 species
GCACCAGUGGGGAAUAUUGGGCAAUGGAGGAAACUCUGACCCAGCGACGCCGCGUGAGGGAUGAAGGCCUUCGGGUUGUAAACCUCUUUCAGUAGGGAAGAAGCGAAAGUGACGGUACCUACAGAAGAAGCACCGGCUAACUAUGUGCCAGCAGCCGCGGUAAUACAUAGGGUGCAAGCGUUGUCCGGAAUUAUUGGGCGUAAAGAGCUCGUAGGUGGUUCGAUACGUCGGAUGUGAAAAUCAGGGGCUCAACCCCUGACCUGCAUCCGAUACGGUCGAGCUAGAGUUUGGUAGGGGAGACUGGAAUUCCUGGUGUAGCGGUGGAAUGCGCAGAUAUCAGGAGGAACACCGAUGGCGAAGGCAGGUCUCUGGGCCAAUACUGACACUGAGGAGCGAAAGCGUGGGGAGCGAACAGGAUUAGAUACCCCGGUAGUCCG